CUGCAGCCCGAGUGGUGAUCGAUUUUAUUGAGCCUAAAGCGUCCGUAGCCGGACUAGUAAACCCUUAAGUAAAUUGGGCAGCUUAACUGUCCAAAUUCCGAGGGGACUGCUAGUCUUGGGACCGGGAGAGGUCAGAGGUACUCAAGGGGUAGGGGCUAAAUCCUGUAAUCCUUUGGGGACCACCAGUGGCGAAGGCGUCUGACUAGAACGGAUCCGACGGUAAGGGACGAAACCCUGGGGCGCGAACCGGAUUAGAUACCCGAGUAGUCC
rnacentral:rRNA from 1 species